rnacentral:rRNA from 1 species
UACGUAGGGGGCAAGCGUUGUCCGGAUUUAUUGGGCGUAAAGAGCGUGUAGGCGGCCAUGUAGGUCCGUUGUGAAAACUCGAGGCUCAACCUCGAGACGCCGAUGGAAACCAUGUGACUAGAGUCCGGAAGAGGAGAGUGGAAUUCCUGGUGUAGCGGUGAAAUGCGCAGAUAUCAGGAAGAACACCCGUGGCGAAGGCGGCUCUCUAGUACGGUACUGACGCUGAGACGCGGAAGCGUGGGGAGCGAACAGG